rnacentral:lncRNA from 1 species
GGAUCCGAAGUGUCAAUCCGGGACAUGACUUCGGACAUCUCUUCCUCCUGCGUGUCCGGCCAUGUCUCCCUCACUAUAGCACUCAUCACCUCGUCACUAGCUCCCCCACCUUCGCCUAAUUGGAUGGAAAAAAAUGAUUAAUUAACAUUUUGACAUAUAUAUAAGUAAAUUAAAAAAAAAAACGUAAAGAUGACUUACAAUAUCCUCCUGAGCGUCAGGAUAUGCCUUCUCGUACGUAUAGACGUACCGGUUGACUUCUGGAUGUUCCUUGGCCGCCUCGUCCAUGAAGACAACGAACGGUCUAGAACUGGCAUGAUGGUUCCUUGUGUUGUGUUGCCGGUUCUAAACGUUCGCCUGGGAAACGGCCUUCAAAGAAAAAAAUAAACUAUUAGUAAAAUAUUUAAAAACGGACGUACUUAAUGAAAAAUUAACUAAUUAAUUUUUUUAAAUUACCUGUUUACGAGGGUUGUUGAAUUCUGAUGUCAGAAGCCAACGCCACUCGUACUCCCUGUACUGGAACUCAGCAGGGGUACCAGAACGUGCGUUCCCGUGCGUAGUCCAGUGGGUCUGCAACUCGUUCUUCCACUCCUUGUACCAACAGAUACAACAAAAAUAUUAGAAAUAUUAUUAAUAUCACAUACAAUUUUGUUUUUUCAUUAACUUCCCAACGUAUCUUCCCCCAUGCACAACGUCCGCCCAGCUGUUCUUCAAGUGCUCGGGAACGUCAAACCACACCUGCAUUUAACCGUUUAUUAGUUUAGUUUUUCGAGAAAUCAACAAUGUAAUACAUAAUAUUAUUGAGGCAUUUUGUAAACUCACCGACAUCGUGUUGUGGACCAUGUCCUUAACCUCCUGCGGGACCUCGCCCUAGUCUGACCACAACAUAGGGACUCUAUCCCUAAUGAGCGCUCCCACGCGGCCAGAGUACGUCCUCGACUUCCCGCCCGAUACUAUGUGGCCAUCCCCGUCAGUAUCGAUGACGAUCCUCCCUGAGGUAUUGACGGUCUU